GUGGUUACGGCCUGCGGCCUGCACCUCAGCUUCCUCCGCACGGUUAUCCCUGUACCCGCCGCCAUCCAUCCUGGCGCUCCGGAUGAGUCAAUGAGGGGCAGCGCCCGAGGAAUGGUCUUCCCAAGAACCCCCGGUGGCCUCCCAAGGCCGGUGCUGUGUACCUCCUCCCCGACAAAAGGGGCAACUGAGGCCCCGAGGGGAGUGGGAAGAGCCGGCUGGACGUCAGGCCCAGCCGCUGGUGCGGUAGUCCGUCCCCUCCGCCGGGGUGGGCCCCUCGGGUUUCGCGUGUCCUCGGGAAAGAGACUGGCGGGCCUCGUGGGCUGUGCGGCUCUCCUGGAGACAGAUGACAGCUCUCCCUUGGAUGGCUUUGCUAGUUUCGCACCAGCCAGCGCCCCAUUUUUCCUGCAGCACCCUGAUCCGCACUCCCUGAGGGGCUCCCACUGUCCGCGGUGUGAGGAUGUCCCUGGAUAGUCCACUGUGUGCAGAGGCAUGGGAGUUGUCAUGUCGAUAACAUGCUAGACCUCAGUGUCCUUGAGGGAUGCCGCCUUGGGUCUGGAGACUGUUAGAGGAAACCCCAAGAGGUGCAAGCACUGAGCCUCUCAGGACAAUGACCUGGGAUUCCACCUCCCCUGGAGGGGCCUCCUCAUGAUUGUUUGGGGGUUGAUCACAGACCAAGAGUGAUGAGUGAUGUCACCCUGUGAUGCAUGGCUGGACCUUCUUGCCCCUAUUGUCUCAGCACAACAUUAAUCGACUUUUCCCUCAGCGUGGGUGGGCAGAGGAAAAGCCCUGUGGCUCUGGGGACUUGGGAUCCAGAGUUGAAGACCCUUCAGCUGGCUCUGCCCUGCCAGUGCCACAGAGUGCCAUGGCCCAGGAAGACUGGUUUUCUUCCAUCUAGGCCAGGCCAUCCAGUGGCCAUCCUUCGUGUCCUCCCACCUCCUUCUGGUGUGACUUCUGAAAACCAAGAAUUUGUUCCUGUUGACUUUUUCUGUGCUAUGGACCAUUGUCCUCUGACCCACUCAAUAAAUCUUGAAACAUGC
rnacentral:lncRNA from 1 species